UACAGAGGUCUCAAGCGUUGUUCGGAUUCAUUGGGCGUAAAGGGUGCGUAGGCGGCGCGGUAAGUCGGGUGUGAAAUCUCGGAGCUUAACUCCGAAACUGCAUUCGAUACUGCCGUGCUUGAGGACUGGAGAGGUAAGCGGAAUUCCUGGUGUAGCGGUGAAAUGCGUAGAUAUCAGGAGGAACACCUGUGGUGUAGACAGCUUACUGGACCACUUCUGACGCUGAGACACGAAAGCGUGGGUAGCAAACAGG
rnacentral:rRNA from 1 species